GCACACGCAUGCGUACUCCACUAGAAUUGCACAGCGGUUUGCUGAGGUCUCCCGGGUAAACACCUAGAAGAGGAGGAGCGCGGAGCCGCAGCAAGCUGCUGGCCCCUCCUCUCCCAGCUUCACGCGGAUUUCCUGUCCCUCAAAGGAGACAACCCCUAGCCUGCAGGGGGAGCCAGACCAGCUCCUAAAAUGGCUAAAUCGUGGACUGGUGAUGUUGCUUAGCCAGGAAAUGCUAGUCUUACAACCCAAAAUAUAAUUCUUAAAUACUAUACCCAGUAGGAACUCUAUUCCAAACCAGACAUUGGAUCCGGAUUCCAUUCUGUCGACUAGAAGCCCUCGAAGCUAAAGCUUUUAUUUACCUUUUAAGUUAAACAUUCAAAUGCAGCUUUUCCAAGGCUGUAAAUACAUGGUGGUAAUGAUGUUAUUUGUUUUAUAGCAGUUUGGUGACAUUUGUGCUGUUUUCAGCUAUUUAAGCUGAAGAACCUUGCCAUUAUUUUCUAAAGCUUCCUUUUCAUUCCCCACCCCUGUGUUCAUAAAAGAUAAGUGAACCAGGAAUAUCAACUAAAGUGGAAUUAAAGGGCUGUCCAUUAGAAGAGCAUAAUAAGGCCCAGACCUAUACUGUUAGUCACCUCAGCCAGUUGUGAAAUACUAUUUAUCUCUUAAGUUUAGUCCAGUGUAUGGAUUUUGGUCCGUGCACUUUGGCCGAAAGCAGGGAACCAGAAGAUUCUCCUAACUCCAGGCUAAGAACUUAGAAGUUGCCAAUGACUGUUGGAAAAGACAGAUAAAAGAGGGCUAAAAAGCACAACUGGAUGCCCUUGAGAAAGGGCUGUUUUCAGAGUGCCUGGAUGGACAGCAAAGAAAUCAAACCAACCACUUAAAUAAAAAUUUAUUGACAAUAAAUAAUUUUAUACAUUAAAAAAAGAAA